GCGUGGAUGAGGUGUGGGUGAGGAGGGCUGUGUGUCAGCCCAGCGCUGCUCGGGACGGCUCCGCCGUUGCUGGGGAAACUCGAGGAAAGGGCGUUGGGGAAUGCGGCGGUGCGGGGCUGCGUCUCCUGUGCGGGGCCGGCAGCACGGCUGGGAGCGGCAGGGGUGGCAGCGUCAGAUGUCAGUUUGGAGUGGGCACGGCCGUGAGGACAUCGCGGCGGGAUGGUUGGGACGCACUGGGUAACUCACAGCCACGGCACCGCACGGUGCCAACCCCCACGCGUCCCCACGCUGCCGUCCCUGUACGGACAGACAGAUGUGCGUCCGUGCACGGCGCUCCCGCUGCCCCGGGAAGCUGCCGUCGGAACGCAGUACCGGUUUGAGCGGCGGCCACGGGCACCGGCGUUGCCCCAGUCCUGCCCGGCUCUCGGCGGGCAGCGGGAGGUGACAAAGAGAGCUCGGGAUGGGCGAUGCUGACCCCUCGUGGCACAGCUUCCGAGUGCACUGAGGAUGAUGGAUGGUUGGGGACGCGGGGUGGCACGGCCACCUCCCGCAGGUCCCACGUCGCAGGGUGCUCGGAGGAGCUGCCGCUGCGUGUGGCUGCGGCCGGGGCUGGUUGGGAACGCGACGGACACGGAGGGGUUCGCGGUGUCCCCAGUUGUCCCCAGCUGCUGCCAGGCACCAGCACAGCACAGACACUGGACCGACAGAUCUAAACGAGGAGCUCCAAACCCCGCCUGCAUCCCAUCGGCAAGGCUCUAGCCGUCCCACACAGCUCCCAGCAACAAUUUUAGCACUGUUCUCACUUUAGCAACACAGCCACCGCAGCUGGGAUCCUGGCGAGGUGUGAAAAGCACUGAAAAGUC